rnacentral:rRNA from 1 species
UACGGAGGGUGCAAACGUUGCUCGGAAUCAUUGGGCGUAAAGCGCACGUAGGCGGUCCAGCAAGUCGGGUGUGAAAGCCCUCGGCUCAACCGAGGAAGUGCAUUCGAAACUGCUGAACUUGAGUAUGGAAGAGGAUCGCGGAAUUCCCGGUGUAGAGGUGAAAUUCGUAGAUAUCGGGAGGAACACCAGUGGCGAAGGCGGAUCUCUGGGCCGUAACUGACGCUGAGGAGCGAAAGCAUGGGUAGCGAACAGG